rnacentral:tRNA from 1 species
GGAGGGUUGGCUGAGCGGUCGAAAGCACCUGAUUUGAAAUCAGGAGGCCCGCAAGGGCUCGGGGGUUCGAAUCCCUCACCCUCCG